UUUAUGACAGAACACAGGUGGAUUGAUUUAAAAUUAUAGAAUUUUCAACUGAUUUUGUCAUAUUGUUCAUUUAAAAGAGGCUUUUAUGAAAUGUGUGUACAUUAUAGGCGCAGGAGCGGCUGUGUGGUAAGUAGCUUGUUUACCAACCACAUGGUUCCGGGUUCAGUCCCACUGCAUGGCACCUUGGGCAAGUGUCUUCUACUAUAGCCUCGGGCCGACCAAAGCCUUGUGAGUGGAUUUGGUAGACGGAAACUGAAAAAAGCCCGUCGUAUAUAUGUAUAUAUAUGCGUGUUUGUGUGUUUGUGUUUGUCCCCUUAGCAUUGCUUGACAACCGAUGCUGGUGCGUUUAUGUCCCCGUUACUUAGCGGUUCGGCAAAAGAGACCGAUAGAAUAAGUACUGGGCUUACAAAAGAAUAAGUCCUGGGGUCGAGUUGCUUGAUUAAAGAUGGUGCUCCAGCAUGGCCACAGUCAAAUGACUGAAACAAGUAAGAGAGUAUGUAUGAAAUAUGAACAUGUGGUCACUCGUUUUUAUCAAACAUGUAUUUUAUGUAUAUUCUUCUGGUUUUAUUUAUUGAAUUUCUCUCAAAUAAAAAAGACUGUCUGCAGCCCAGAACCUAGUCUCUUUCAUUGGUUUUGUGUGUCUGUGUAUCCCCACUCAAGUAUGUUUGUAGACAGACAUAGCAAUAUGUGUCAAUUUAUAGGUUUUGAGCUAUUCAUAGCUUAUAUCUGCAAUCUGUAGUAUGUAAGUAUAAAUAUCCGCAUACUACAAACUGAAUUUCUACAAUGUUUUACAUAUUUUUUAUAGUUCCAUUAAUGGUUUGUAAUUGUUACUUUUCUAAUUAGUUUUGUUUGUUAUUGUUUUGUGAUGCCCAGCUUUUUAAGAGUAUUGCUCAGGUAGUUAGUCAUAUAAUCAGGUGCCCUACUAAUUGCAGGUAUAAAUCUAAAGUGAUAGUCCAGGCGUUGUAUUUGCAUACUUUUCAGUUAUUCACCAUGGAGUUUUUCUGUUUGUGGCCGAUGACAGUACUGCCUGAUUGGCACCUGUGCCAGUGGCACAUUAAAAGGACCAUUCAAACGUGAUCAUUGCCAGCGUUGCCUGACUGGCUCCUGUGCCGGUAACACGUAAAAAGCACCAUUUGAGCAUGGUCGAUGCUAGUAAAAAAGCACUCACUACACUCUUGAAGUGGUUAGCAUUAGGAAGGGCAUCCAGCUGUAGAAGCUUUGCCAGAUCAGAUUGGAGUCUGGUGCAGCCUUCUGGCUCUCUAGCCCUCAGUCAAACCGUCCAACCCAUGCCAGCAUGGAAAGCGGAGUUAAACGCCAACAAUGAUGAUGUCUGACUAGUACGGAAGGAGUUCUCCUCAUCCAGUCAACUUCCAAUGUUUGUGUGUAAAGCAACUGAAGAUUGUAUCCCUUAGAUUGUUCAAGCUUUCUACUAAUGGCAAGUAUCCAAAUAUAUCUUCAUCUACUAUAUAACAAGCAAGUUCCAGGUAUCCCUCUUUGAAUGUUAAAGCCGUAAAAAUAGAGAAAGGGGCAGUGGCUGGUAGAUUCCACCCUUUAUCUAGAAAUGGCUACACUCAUAGCAAAAGCUGUCUUUUCUAUAACGGUUUCUUUACCAUAUUUCUGUUGAAAUUCUCUUUCCGUUUGAAUGUUGAAAAUAAUGCAGUUGGGGUUUGGAACAUAAAUUAACAUGAAAUGUUCGUAGACAGAAUUCAUUUUCAGAAAUAUUAAAUUUCUUAAUAUCUCAUAGAGACAUGAGCGGUGGUGGAGCGAUAGAGUGGUUGUAUACUGUCAACAUAAUGUGACAGUCCCGUAAAGGGAAUUACACUACCGUUGUUUAGCCCUAGGAAGCAUCGACGCUUCCUGUCGGCCUUGACACAUUUCCUGUGCCCUUAUAUAUUUACAAAGGGCCCUUUCGUAAAUAUAUACACACACACACUGGUAUUUGUGUGCAUAGCCACCUAAACACCCCUUUCUGUUUUACAUACUGUCAGUUAUACCCUAUUGUGUUUUGACAAGUGUAUUUAUUAUGUAUUUAACAGAAAUCAAUUAUUUUCUAUUCUUUCAGAUUGGCAGAGCAUGACAGCAGUUCGUGUCAGGCUAUCAUUACUUACUUGUCCAAAAACGUCCGGCUUACUGUUCAGACGCAAUUCAUCGAACCAAUUUUAUUUCCUCUGAACUCCCUUCUUCAGUUUUUGGGGGAUCUUGACUGGAACCCCUCCGAUGGCUCACCUAUUCUCAAAGCACGCACUGUACGCUGCGUCGAUGGGCUUGAUUUGAUUCUGUAUGAGAGAGCUUUGUCUGCUCAAAGAGCCUAUCUAUGCAGUCGUGAAGCAACAAGGAACUCUUCAGCCACUUCUGUUCCCAAAGAAUAACCAAGUUUGAAAUUCCAUCAAAGAGAACUUACCAAUGUUUAGGUGCAGGCGUGGCUGGUUGGUUAAGAAGUCUGCUUCCCAACCAGAUGGUUUUGGGUUCAGUCCCACUGCACAACACCUUGGGCAAGUGUCUUCUACUAUAGCCCAGGUUGAUUAAUGCCUGAGAGUUUGAAUUUGGUUGGUAGAAACUGUGUGGAAGCCUGUCGUGUGUGUGUGCGUCUUUGUGCAUGUCUUCACCACCACUUGACAACUGAUGGUGUUUUAUAUACAACCAUGUAACUUAGCUGUUCAGCAAAAGAGAUUGACAGAAUAGGUACAAGGUUUAAAAAAAUAGGUACUCGGGUUGAUUUGUUCAACUAAACCCUUCAAGGUAGUGCCCCAGCAUGGCCACAGUCACGAUUGAAACGUAAAAGGUAAAUUAAGAGUGAAAACCCUGACUUUUACCCCUGUGAAGCUUAAUGCCACAUUUCCUACUUUGACUGACCAGCUCCCUGCCGUGAUGUCCAGGUAGACUGACUGCUGUCUCUCAUAUCCUUGAUGUGGAACAUGAUUCUUUCUUAAAGCGGGUUCACCUGCCACCUCCUCCCCUCGCAAAUAGGAGGUGCACUGACUGGAAGGUGAAACUGCUUGGCUACUGACCCUACAGCAAUAAGUUCAAGUCUGUGUUUUUAGUCGGUGAUUCUUUUUUUUUUUUUUU
rnacentral:lncRNA from 1 species